rnacentral:rRNA from 1 species
AAAAACAUGGCUCUUUGAGGUUUAUAUAUAAAGAGUCGGGCCUGCCCAGUGAAAAAUUUUCAACGGCCGCGGUAUUUUGACCGUGCGAAGGUAGCAUAAUCAUUUGCCCUAUAAUUGAGGGCCGGUAUGAAUGGUUUGACGUGAGCAAAGCUGUCUCUAUAUUGAUUUAUUAGAAUUUGAUUUUUAGGUGAAGAAACCUAAAUUUUAUUAAAAGACAAGAAGACCCUAUUGAGCUUUAAAAAAAUAAGUAAAUGAGGGGUUGUUUAUUAAGAAACCCGCUUGCUUAAUAUUUUGGUUGGGGCGACUAAGGAACAGUUAAAGCUUCUUUUUUAUUUGUAGGUUUACGGACGUUGAUCCAAGCAUUUUGAUUAAAGAGAUUAGCUACCGUAGGGAUAACAGCAUAAUUCUUUUUGAGAGUUCUUAUCGAAAAGAGAGUUUGUGACCUCGAUGUUGGACUAAAAUUUCCUAAAGAUGCAGCAGUCUUUAAGGGUUGGUCUGUUCGACCAUUAAAAUUUUACGUGAU